rnacentral:rRNA from 1 species
AGAAUCAACGCUGGCGGCGUGCCUAACACAUGCAAGUCGAACGAGAAAGUGGAGCAAUCCAUGAGUACAGUGGCGCACGGGUGAGUAACACGUGACUAACCUACCCUUGAGUGGGGAAUAACCUGGAGAAAUCUAGGCUAAUACCGCAUAACACCUACGAGUCAAAGGAGCAAUUCGCUUAAGGAGGGGGUCGCGGCAGAUUAGCUAGUUGGCGGGUAAUGGCCCACCAAGGCAGUGAUCUGUA